GCUAUUUCCACUCGUUUCUCUCUCUCCUCAUCCAUUCUGUUCUCCCUCCUCCGUCCCGAUCUAGAUCCCACCGCCCAAUCCUCUCCCCUUCCCCUCCAUCUCCAUGGCGAGCCACCUCCCCCUUUCACAUCUGGCCGCGCCUCCCAAACCCUCUCCCACCUCCAUCGCGGUGCUUCCCAACGGGCUACCUCCAUCUGCACAAAUACCAACGAGAUCCGGGUUGACGGGACACCGAUGAUAUAGUCAUCAACCGCCGCCCCCCGGUGCCUCGUGCGGGGUGAGGGGUGCGGGGUGUGUCAUCCACUUCGGAUCUGGCCGCGGCACGGGAAUGGUCCAUCGGAUCGGGCGGUGAUUGCAAGCUCUGCUCAAAUUUGAAUCGGAAUAAACCUGGCUGAAUUUGCAAUCUGCACUAUGGAGGUACAUGCUGCGAUUAACUAGGUUUUGAGUUCAUAAUCAAUGUUUUGCGGACAGCUAAAUUUUGUUAGCAGACCUCUCGCCAAGCAACUUUUAUCCCUGCGACACUGAAGAAACAGAAGCUUGCGAUCAUCAUGAAGCGGCUUUCUCUUUCCACGGUGUGCACAUGACCACUCUUACAUGUUUGAUAGCUCUCAAUAUAGGUAAGUGCAUUUGGAAGAGUGUUCAAACAUGAAUUGAAGGAUGACUAUCAUAUAAGCUUCUUGCUUGAGAAUGGCACAGGAUAUGGAUCAGUACGGGCUGUGGCGAGCCAUCAACUCUUCAUGCAGAGUUAAUGUCUAUUUGCACUGUAUGCUAUUAUUCCUUAGUGACCAUGAUCACUUCCCCUUACUUGGUGUUCUCUCUCGAGUCGCAGAGAUGGUGACUACGUUGUUGGUGGUGGUGGUUUGAGAGAAACUGAAUUGAAAAGGUUCCUAGACCUAUACUCUGUGAGGUAUCAUAUGCAAUUGGGAUUCAAGUUUUUCAUAAUUUUCUGUAGCUUGAUACUGUGCCAAGCCACGAUCCUAUCUCCUCUCUGCCGUGGUGUAAGUGAUGCGGGGAGGCCAGUGUGGUUGAGGGAGAUCUUGCCCGUAAGGUGCCAUUUGGCCUACUCCUCUUGUCCUCAGCCCGUUCAAGUGCUGGGAUUUGAAAAGCUAGAGAUGCAUUUUUUCCAGGGAGUCUGACAUGGAUUUUAAAACUGAGAAGGAAGUGUCAAAACUUAUCAAAAGUAAACAAUUUGUUCCCUCUUGGCCUUUUGUUUACAAAUGCACUAUUAUUGAGAUAGAGAAUGCACGUCAACUGCACAACAAAUUAUCAUGACUUUCAAUUUUCCAAUCUUUCCACAUAAUUUUGUUUGUAUUGUUUAGUUUGCUUUCUCUUUUCCAAUCUUGCACGUAAUUUUGUUGUCAAACAGAUGGGCCGUGAGUUUGGAUUUCGGCGUGGCCGCUGCUCAUUCUGCCACCUUGCUACAUGUCCUCACUGCGGACUGCACCCAGUCCGCCUCCACUGUGUCCUGCGCUGCUUCGGCAUCCCAUUACUCGUAGGACAAUGGCCCCGCGGCGCCGACGUCAUCGACCACAGCAAUGCCGACGCUGCCUGGGACGUGUACUGGAUUGAGGCUCUGUGAUACGAGUAGAUUACCCAAGAGGGUUCACACUUGCAUAUCAGUGUUCACAAGUGCUACUAGUAGUACUAUGUUUUAGGUUGUUGUUGCUGCUCCUUCGAGUUGUGAUAUUUCUGGCAUGAUCUCCUCCAGGACCAGGAAUGUACAUUUGAAUUUCUGAUUUGAGAUGGAUCGUGGAAUAA